GGGUGAGCGCAAAACCUAGAUUUUUAAGGUUUGUUCCUAAGGGUUUGGGAAGAGAGAAAAAUAAGAAGAAAAAGUGUUUCUUCUCCAUACUUCUCCCUCAUUCUCAUCUUCUUUAGAUAUCAUUCUUCAACCUCUGAAAAAGUUUGAAAGAUUUAAAAAAAAGAUCCAGAUCAGUCAACAAGAUUGUCUUCACACGAGCUAGCACUCUCGAGGAGCUGAUCAGAUCGGGGCUUCGAGUGGACUUUCUGUAGAGGCCAGACAUAUAUGCGACUGCGAGCAACCAAUGAGGAUCCUCUUUACCACAUCUAUCA
rnacentral:lncRNA from 1 species